AAUGAAUAAAUUUAAUAUACCCGUAUAUCCUUAGAAAUAUGGUCUAAGAGUUUCUACCGGACUACCGUAAAUUGUCUGACUAUGGGUGUUUAUAGAUAUUUU
rnacentral:ncRNA from 2 species